UGGGCAACCUGCCUCAAAGAGGGGAAUAGCCUCCCGAAAGGGAGAUUAAUACCGCAUAAUAUGUUUAAGUCGCAUGACUUUAACAUCAAAGGAUUUUCUUUUAGAACUUCCACUUUGAGAUGGACCCGCGGCGCAUUAGCUAGUUGGUGAGGUAACGGCUCACCAAGGCAACGAUGCGUAACCGACCUGAGGNGGUNGCGCANGUAGACUGAACGACCGUACCGGU
rnacentral:rRNA from 1 species